GACGGACGCUGGCGGCGUGCUUAACACAUGCAAGUCGAACGGAAAGGCCCCAGCUUGCUGGGGUACUCGAGUGGCGAACGGGUGAGUAACACGUGGGUGAUCUGCCCUGCACUCUGGGAUAAGCCUGGGAAACUGGGUCUAAUACCGGAUAGGACCGUGCUUUAGUGUGCGCGGUGGAAAGUUUUUCGGUGCAGGAUGAGCCCGCGGCCUAUCAGCUUGUUGGUGGGGUAAUGGCCUACCAAGGCGGCGACGGGUAGCCGGCCUGAGAGGGUGUACGGCCACAUUGGGACUGAGACACGGCCCAGACUCCUACGGGAGGCAGCAGUGGGGAAUAUUGCACAAUGGGCGCAAGCCUGAUGCAGCGACGCCGCGUGGGGGAUGACGGCCUUCGGGUUGUAAACCCCUUUCGGCAGGGACGAAGCUUUUGUGACGGUACCUGCAUAAGAAGCACCGGCUAACUACGUG
rnacentral:rRNA from 1 species